rnacentral:rRNA from 1 species
GGUAAAUUCCAUCUAAAGCUAAAUAUUGGCGAGAGACCGAUAGCGAACAAGUACAGUGAUGGAAAGAUGAAAAGAACUUUGAAAAGAGAGUGAAGAAGUACGUGAAAUUGUUGAAAGGGAAGUGCAUUUGAUCAGACAUGGCGUUUGCUUCGGCUAUCGCUGGGCCAGCAUCAGUUUUAGCGGUUGGAUAAAUCCUCGGGAAUGUGGCUCUGCUUCGGUAGAG